rnacentral:rRNA from 1 species
AACGAACGCUGGCGGCAUGCUUAACACAUGCAAGUCGAACGAGGCCUGGGGCUUGCCCCUGGCCUAGUGGCGAACGGGUGAGUAACGCGUGGGAACCUGCCUUGGAGUGGGGAUAACCGCUGGAAACGGCGGCUAAUACCGCAUGCGCCCUGCGGGCGAAAGACCGAGAGGCGCUUCGAGAGGGCCGCGUCCGAUUAGCUUGUUGGUGGGGUAACGGCCGUACCAAGGCAUCGAUCGGUAGCUGGUCUGAGAGGA